UCGUUUCGUAGAAAUUUAUGGCACACUUCUCCAUCUACGAUAUUAUCGCCGGGAAGGAAAGGGAAUAAGGGAAGCAUCGGUUUUUGACUACCAACAGAAAAAGGAGGAAUCAUAAGACUUCUUUACCUUUUCAAUAUAAUAAGGUAUAGAUCUAGUUAUCGAAAAAGUUAACAAAACUCUAACUAUAUUGACAUCAAACAUCGAUCCCACAAAAAUUGAAGUCUAAAACUCGACCUACACAAUGUGAAAAUAAACAUAGAUACUGUGGUGAAGAGUACACGUAUACCUUUCACGGUUUGGAUUUGUACCUUUUGUUUCUUAUUAUUGUGCAGGACAAUUUUAGACCGUAAUUUUUCUACGAUUAAGGUAGUAGAUAUAUAUAUGUUGUACUAAUGCUGGUCAUCACAUGUUUUUAGAUGUAGUAUAUUUAUGUAUUUUAUUUAAGAAAAUGUGAAAACAUUAUGUCACUUCCCAAAAGAAAACCACGGCACAGAGGCCUGCAGUGCAGGGCACGGAAGCUUCCCUGGAUCAUCGGCCCCUCGUUGCGAAAAGCACACGGUCAAUGUAAACUAAAAAUUCCAAUUGAUUGCUCAGUCGUUGUAGAAAGCCGCCCUAUAUUCACAAAUUAAUAUAUAUAGGAGUAUACAAGACGAUCGAUGAGACGGCUUCAGUUCUUGUGCGUCGGAAGUUGUUCAGGAGGCCUUCAAGCAGAGAGGGGAUUGCUAGCUUGGAGGCCAGCAAUGUCGACAAGAUCAGAUUACUCUGUCUCAGCCUUGUUGCUGGUGAUCCUGCUUGUUAUUAUGGCCAGCAUCCUAGCUCCACGGCCGGCUGCUGCAACCCUGGAGCGACGGGGUUGUACCUACGACCCUCAAAACAAUCCCGAUUGCCCUCCUGUAAGAUCCCGCGGGCAGUGUGACCAACCGCCAUGCCCAAGCAACAAUGACGCCCCAGCGGUGGAGCAACGAGCUACACACUUGCCGUAAUUUGUUAAUAGCAUGGGGAUAUUAUAUAGAAGGGAAGCUCUGUUUUAAUUUACAUAUGUUUAUAUGAGUUGCUCCCUCCAGCCAUUUAUAUCAUGUUUGGAGAGCUAAACUCAGAUCUCAAACGUAAAAUAUAUUUGACCAGAGGGAUAAAUUAUAUGUUGUUCGUGUAUUCUGCUUUUAUUCUGAAAUGUCCCACCUAUGAUUAUCUGCAGCACAAACAUAUAUAAUAAGUGUGUGUAUAGUAAUAUAUAUAUAUAUAUAGGAGAUGGGAAAUUGUACA